GGGCCUAAUAAUAGUUCUCGGCGCGUUUCCUACCGUCUCGCACUUGCUCCUCCUGUGACAGCGAAGGCGACGAGAUACUUCGGUCAUUUCAACUCAAAGCUUUAAGCAAGUAAAGCAUUCUUAUGCUUUGAACCUUAGGAAAGAAUAUAUUAAUCAUCUUGGAAUAAAGAAAGCACCUUCUUGGUAAGCACUAACUUCUGCCCUGCCUUUAGUCUCAGAUAAAUGACUUGAUACCCCCUCACCACCCAAAUUCCCCAGGUUCCCAUUUUGUUCGAAUUUUUCUUCCAUGAGUCCUUCCUUUUUUGUGUCGUCAAAUAUUACAGCAUUGCACAACAAGCAAACUAAAUGAAUUAGAGCAAUUGUAUUCUAUGCAUGACACUCCAAGCACCUUUCUGUUAGAUUUAUCAUACAGAAGCUAAUAUGAAACUCCUAAGUUUGACUACUAUAAAAAUACAUUAAUGUGUCUUGAAUAGAAUUUUGGCUUUCCCUUUUUAUUUUAUAUAUAGGUUGGGCGUUUGGAAACAAAAACUCUGAGAACCAGUUUAAAUUAUCAGCCACUCAAAAAGUUCUGUAUGUACACUAAAUCUGCAAACUGUGACCAACUAGUCUUAUUUAAAUUAAUCUCUGACUUGAAGCUGAAUAUUAAUAUCUUGUGGUUAUAGAGCAAUACUUGAGUGAUAUAACUAAAAUCAUAGUGCAAUUUUCUUAGCUCAACUUACUACAUACCUAAAAGAUCAACAUUUUAAAUUUAUUAUCUUGUUCAACCAGCAGUCAUCUCUUUAUAAUGAAAGAUAGCUGUCAUAGUAAUAUCAAUAUGGAUCUACUAUUUAUGUUGGAAAACACCCAAGUUAUGUUGUUAGCAGAGUCACUGAGAUACUAAUGACAACUAUUAACAUCGUGACUCUAAAAACAGCGCUCUUGGGCCUGUAUUCUCUUUUUUCCUUUUCUUGGGUGCUUUUUGAGCACCUUGUUUUUGGUCUUUUCUAGACCUUUUUCCUGAUUUCUUAAUAUAAUGAUACGUGGUUCUCCCACGUGUUCGAGAAAAAAAACAACGCUCUUGUUAGUAGAAACAGGUCCAAGCAUUGGAUUCAAUGAAACUACACUAUAGCUCUGCUACAUUUAAUAACCCCUGAUGAAUUCACAUAGAAAUACGAAUUAUUAGCACAAAGAGGAAUACAGCAUUCUGAACUGAUACCUCACCAUGACACCUUGGGAGAACUUUAAUUUAUUUCUUUGACAUGUAUCAUAGGGUACAUCAGCAGUAGCCUAAAGCUGGUGUUAAUACCGUUUACCUUAUUAAUUCUGGGCUACAAGAGACAAGAAAAUGGUGUACUUUAGACCAUUUUCCCGUUCAUAUUAUGCAUAUUUUUUCCCCAUUACCUUCCAUCAGUGAUACUUCGUAAUAUGCAGUAUUUGAGCACAGAACCAGUCAGACUGUCUUUCCCCAUUACCCAUCACCAGUUCUAAUUAAUAAGAUGUCAGACAAAGCGCUUGCAUGAUCCAGAGAUCUGUUUUGCCUUAAUUUUUUGCUAUGAUUGCCUUCAGUUUGGUCAAGCACUCACAGUUGCCCUUAUUUUUUUAAAUGUAUGGUGAUCUGCAACAUUAAAAUUCGACCAUGUUCUGGACAUUGGUUGGUGGUUCUACUUGAUUUGUGCCUCUGCAGUAGAAUUGCAUUUGUUCAGAACCAGAUCCUGUCAUUCUGUACCAUUAAACAUGAUUGUUCCGUGUUAGGUUUAUAUGCCCUGACUGUUGAACGGAAGCUUGCUAAAGAAUGUUAGGCAACAAAGAAAUGAGAACAUUGGAUGUUCCUUCGCUGUUGAUAGUUUGUCAAAGUAUUCCUUUUCUUUUUCCAAAGAUUAAACCAUGCACUUAUUAUGAUUCAUGCAUGGGAAUAUCUCUCUUUUGAAUAUAUCCAUGGAAAGAGUAGUUCUUUAGUAUCGUUUGUUGCGUUGAUAUUCAGCUUAUUUGUUGAUGGUUAGGUAAGAUGUUCAUCAGUGCGCUACAACUCUUGUGUAUUUGUUGGAAAAGCAUAAUUAAGCGAUGCAAACUUUCCC
rnacentral:lncRNA from 7 species